UACGGGGGGGGUAAGCGUUGUUCGGAAUUACUGGGCGUAAAGGGCUCGUAGGCGGCCAACUAAGUCAGACGUGAAAUCCCUGGGCUCAACCCAGGAACUGCGUCCGAUACUGGUUGGCUUGAAUCCGGGAGAGGGAUGCAGAAUUCCAGGUGUAGCGGUGAAAUGCGUAGAUAUCUGGAGGAAUACCGGUGGCGAAGGCAAUCCCCUGGACCUGUACUGACGCUCAUGCACGAAAGCGUGGGGAGCAAACAGG
rnacentral:rRNA from 1 species